GGUGAACGCUGGCGGCGUGCCUAAUACAUGCAAGUCGAGCGAACGGACGAGAAGCUUGCUUCUCUGAUGUUAGCGGCGGACGGGGGAGUAACACGUGGAUAACCUACCUAUAAGACUGGGAUAACUUCGGGAAACCGGAGCUAAUACCGGAUAAUAUUUUGAACCGCAUGGUUCAAAAGUGAAAGACGGUCUUGCUGUCACUUAUAGAUGGAUCCGCGCUGCAUUAGCUAGUUGGUAAGGUAACGGCUUACCAAGGCAACGAUGCAUAGCCGACCUGAGAGGGUGAUCGGCCACACUGGAACUGAGACGCGGUCCAGACUCCUACGGGAGGCAGCAGUAGGGAAUCUUCCGCAAUGGGCGAAAGCCUGACGGAGCAACGCCGCGUGAGUGAUGAAGGUCUUCGGAUCGUAAAACUCUGUUAUUAGGGAAGAACAUAUGUGUAAGUAACUGUGCACAUCUUGACGGUACCUAAUCAGAAAGCCACGGCUAACUACGUG
rnacentral:rRNA from 1 species